rnacentral:rRNA from 1 species
UACAGAGGGUGCAAGCGUUGUUCGGAAUUAUUGGGCGUAAAGCGCGUGUAGGCGGCUAUGUAAGUCGGGCGUGAAAUCCCACGGCUCAACCGUGGAAGUGCACUCGAAACUGCAUAGCUAGAGUCCUGGAGAGGAAGGUGGAAUGCUUGGUGUAGAGGUGAAAUUCGUAGAUAUCAAGCGGAACACCGGUGGCGAAGGCGGCCUUACUGGACAGUGACUGACGCUGAGACGGCGAAAAGCGUGGGGAGCAAACAGG